GGGAUAAACGCUGGCGGCGUGCAUGAGACAUGCAAGUCGAACGGACGAUCAGGGCUUGCUCUGAUCGUUAGUGGCGGACGGCUGAGUAACGCGUAGGUGACCUGCCCCGAAGUGGGGAAUAACUGCCCGAAAGGGUGGCUAAUACCGCAUGUGGUGGUGCCUUCACUGGCAUCAGUAAAGCCGCAAGGCGCUUCGGGAGGGGCCUGCGUCCGAUUAGCUCGUUGGUGGGGUAACGGCUCACCAAGGCGACGAUCGGUAGGUGGUCUGAGAGGACGAUCACCCAGACUGGGGACUGAGACACGGCCCAGACUCCUACGGGAGGCAGCAGUCGGGAAUUUUGCGCAAUGGACGAAAGUCUGACGCAGCAACGCCGCGUGAGGGAUGACGGCCUUCGGGUUGUAAACCUCUUUUGUCAGGGAAGAUUAUGACGGUACCUGGCGAAUAAGCCACGGCUAACUACGUGCCAGCAGCCGC
rnacentral:rRNA from 1 species